UUUUAAACCCAGCCUCAGAAGAUGAAGACAAGGACCUCCAGAGCACCACGGCAGGAGACUAUCCAUAUCAGUUAGCUCUGGGUUUUGGCUGAGAGACCCUGCCUCGUGAAUAAGGCUUUCUGAACCUGUCAGCUCUUGUGCCCUGGAGAUGAAGCAAAAGAGAAGAAUGGGUCAGAACCAGGAACAACAUCCUCUGGAGUCACCAUGUAGCAGGCUGGCCUUAAACUUGGGAUGCUUCUCCUGAGUUGCCUGGAUGCUGGUUUACAGGGAUCCAAAGAAAAGGCUGCCACUUCAAUGUCUAAUGGGUCCAGACAGGCUCCUACCUCCCGCCUUGAUGCUUGGCCGCUCACACCAUUACGGAAGCUGCCAACGAGAAAGGCACGAGAUGCCGGGGACCAGCUGACCUUGACUGCCUGCAUCUGAAAUACUCCUGUCUAUCCCACCACGGAGAGAGACAGCAACUAAAUUGGAUUAAUCCCAAAGGGAUCAGUCUGUAUCUCAGAGUAUUUAUAAAAUUUGAAAGAUCUAGGCGCUUCACGGGCAGCACUUGCUCUAGCUUUAAGCGGUUAGCACAAAGCUCUGGAGCGGGUAAAGCUAUGCUGAGCAACUGAAUGGACUGUGUCAGGUCUGUGGAGGAGUUGUGAGACUUGAGGCUUCGCAUGAAUAGUGAAAAAUCAUAUGCAUAUACAUAUACAUUUAUAUACAUAUAUGCUAAAGAAUAUAUAU
rnacentral:lncRNA from 1 species